rnacentral:lncRNA from 1 species
CGGAAAGUUCUACUACGGCCGUGGACCGAUCCAACUCACCGGAAAUGGCGACUACGGAGCUGCCGGAAAAGCUAUCGGGUUUGACGGAUUAAGAGCUCCGGAAACGGUGGCCAGGGACCCCGUUGUGUCAUUUAAGACUGCCUUGUGGUUUUGGAUGACCUAUGUGCACCCAGUUAUGAACCAAGGUUUUGGUGCAACAAUUCAGAGAAUCAAUGGAGCCAUUGAAUGCGGUGGCAAGCAACCUGCUCAGGUUCAAGCUCGCAACGGAUAUUAUAAGGAUUAUUGCAACAAAUUUGGUGUUGCUCCUGGCCCAAAUCUCUAUUGUUAAGAUGUUUUCGCCGAUACUUCACUGGCUUGUGGAAAUAAUGUGGCGUAAUUUUAUAAUAUAGGGUGGUUUCAUGUAUCGAAAACAAAAUAAAUUGAAGAAAUAAAAGUGUGUUCCUAAUGUGGUGUAAUUUUAUAAAAUAGGGUGGUUUCAUGUACCUAAAACAAAAUAAAUUGAAGAAAUAAAAGGGUGUUGCCGACCAUAUUUUAUUGCUUAUAUGGUUUGUGAUUAAUUAUGCUUCUUGGAGAAACUCCACCUUGAUUUAGCUUUGGCUUUUUUAGGAAAAGCAAUAUGAUAGAUGUUUGUCAGUGAAAAAAGAAACUAACUUUAUACAAAGAGCAAUACUAGCUUUAGUGAUUGAUUGAGUGUCGGAUUGGACACCAACUUUAAGUAACCCAGCUUUUUCAUAACAUAAUAUUUGUAACAUAGGACUUAAAAAAUAUGAUGAAUUAAUAACUUAAUAAAUGUAACAAAUAUUUUGAUAAUAUGUGUAUCAUAAAAAGAAUGUAACAAAGUAUUUGACAACAAUAAUUGGUUCAGAACAAGACAAUGUUUCCAUGGAAUUAUGAGAAGAAUCGUGUUAGAGAUUAGGACAAAGGAAACUGCGCGACAACUUUCGUACCGUAGUAUCACAGUGGCGCCUUUUUUUCAAUCUUUUGCAAUACUAAAUUUUAUUUGGCCUCCUUACUUUCUUAUGUAUUUUCAAUUUAUUAAAUAAAUCAACACAUUUAUAAAGAUGGCUGAUAGCCGGCACCGGGCAGCUUUUAUCGGGGUUGCCAGUAAGCUAAAUCAAUUUUGGAGGAGCAUAAAACUUCAGCUUUAUGAAUAACAUUAUUUUAUUGCAUUUACUCUACUAAUUUUAUGGCUUUGAACCCUUUGUUUGACAAGAAAUAUUUGUGUCGGAUCAUCGCACCACCUCAAUCAUACCAUUUAGAGACUUAUUAUUCUGUCACAUAACCCAAUAGUAUUGGAUUUUUUCCAACAAAUUUAACAUACUAAGAUAGUAGGACAACCUUACAAAAAAAUUUUGAGUUAAUAGUGCUAAAUGGUAUUAUAAUCAAAAGUGGGUCUUGGUAUCUUUUAUUAAAAAUUUUAGAUCUACAUAACCAUUUCUCUAAACCUUGAGGAUGUAGGUAUCUUUUUCCCUAAAGUAAAAGAUUCUCUUAUUAUAAGAUUAAAAUUACUCAUAGUGAUAAUAUUAUAAUCUAUUGACAUUUUUUUUUUCAAUUAGACCAAAUUAUAAUAUUUUUUAUAAUAAGGUAAAGCAGUGCUAAGUCUUUAAACUUCUGAUGAUUUCAAUUUAUUCAAUAAAUAUAUAAUCUCUAACUCUAAUUGAAGAAAAAAAAAAGGUUGAAUUGGGGACAUAUUUAAAAGUAAAAUAAAUAUUGUUUUAUGAAAAAUUAUAAAAAAUUAAGGGGUUUAAGCAAAAAUUUUCGAGGCCUGGGUCCGCCCCCAAAGGAACAGUCACUUUUGGUCAAUUUAAUUUGAAAGUUCCACAAAUAAUAAUGCUAAAUCAAAUUCAGUUGUAAAUGAACAAGAACAAGACGAGAAUUUGGGCGACAAUUAGGGAACAAGAUGAAAUGAAGGUGAGAUGAGAUGAAGAUGAUUUUGAGAAGAAGAGAGAGAUUUGGAAUUUGGGCCGGAUUGUUUUUAAGUUCUGAAAUAUGUUUUAGAGGGUAUAAUGUUAAUAACCAAAUAACAACAUCCUACCGUUGAAACUACUUUUUCAUGUAUACAGCUGAAGUAUCAUAAUGAAAAAAUUUGACACAUGUUGCAAUUGUUUCAAAGUAAUUGAAUCCUAUAUGAUUAUUAUUUUGCAACAAGCUAUAUAUAAACAAUAAUUUACUUAAGGGUGGGCAAUGAGACGAUUUGAUUAGGUAUUGGGCCGAAUCCAAAACUUUAGUUUGGUUCAGUACUGAAUUCUUGAAAAAUCAAUAGGAAUAGAAUUAGAACUAAGAUUUUCGAUUUAGUUUGGUCCUUUAAAUAUUUAUAAAAUUUUUUAAUUUUUUUACAAAAUUUAAUAUUUUUUAUUUAAUUUCUUAUAUUCUCUUAGAUCAUGCUAUGUAGCAUUACUUAAAUAUAAAAUAACGUCAUUUUUUUUCUGCUUCGGUUCUAAUUAUGAGAAUUUAAUUCAAUUUCAUAUUUGUUUUAUCAACUUUUUUUAAAGAAAAUGUCCCUUGAGUUUACCUAUAAGAAAAUAGACAUCGUUCAAGAAUGAAAGUUUAGAAAAUUGACUAGACUUUUCAAGUCUUUAAAAGAUAUUGUUUUAUAUGUAGGUUAUGCUAACUUCUUGCUUACGAGAAUUUUCAAGUCUUUAGAAGAUAUUGUUUCAUAUGUAGGUUAUGCUAACUUGUUGCCUACGUAAACGAGCUAAGGAUACUAUUCCUCGAAAUAAUUAUCCAGAAGAAAAAGUUUGAUCUAUUAAUUAAAAUUAGGGAGAAUGAUGCUCGAUCUAUCUUAUAAUUUAUUUUUACAACUUGAGUUCCAAUGAAAUUUAUUACUCAUUUUGUUCCAACUUUUAAACAGUGACAAAAAAUAUGCAUUAUUAAAGGAUAAAUGAGAACUUUUCACGUACAAUUUUGAUAGAUCUGCAAAAGAAAAAAAAUGAAGAAGAGGAAGUGUUUUUACUGUAAGAAACAAGGCCAUUACAUUAGAGAUUGUUCUGAGAAAAAGAAAUAUGAUAAAGAGAGAAUAUGAGAUGCAGCAGUGGCCUCAGAUGAUUUAUCUGAUGAUGGAUACCAUAGUGCUGACUUGUUGGUAGCCUUAAACAACAACAUUAGAGGUUAUUAGGUCCUUGAUUUAGAUUGUUCCUUUCAUUUGUGUCCUGAUAGAAGUUUUUUUUAUGAGUAUGAAUAUGUGGAUAGUGGUAGAGUUUUGAUGGGAAACAACAAUGUGUGUAAGAUUUUUGGUAUAGGGUUUAUCAAAAUAGAGAUGUUUGAUGGGAUUGUUAUAACUCUAUGUGAUGUGAGACAUACACCUAGGCUAAAGAGGAACUUAAUCUCUUUAGGCAUGCUGGAUAGUACAUGAUACUUCUUCAAAUUUGAAAAUAGUGGUUUAAAGAUUAUGAAAAGGACUGAGAUGGUAAUGAAAGGGAUUAAGAAAAAUGGUCUUUAUAUAUUAGAAGGAUCAUCAGUGCUUGUGUCAACUAUAAUGACAACUAUUUCUGAGCUUGAUAGAACUAUGUUAUGACAUCUUAGACCUGACCAUAUGAGUAUUAGGGGAAUGCAAAAAUUAAGUAUUCAAGGGUUGCUCUGUGGUGACAAAAUAAUUGAGUUAGACUUAUGUGAAAACUGUAUUUUUAGCAAAGCACACAUGUCAAAUUUACUAAAGGGAUGCAUGUGUCUAAACAACCUUUAGACUAUGUGCAUGCUGAUCUUUGAGCGCCUGGUCAGGUCUCUUCUCUAAGUGGUGGAAAGUACUUUAUAUCUGUGAUAAAUGAUUACUCCAGAAAGGUUUGGGUAUAUAUAUUUGAAAACCAAAGAUCAAGUCUUUGAAAAGUUUAAAGUCUUGAAGGCUUUGGUGGAGGCUCAAUAUGGUUUCAAAGUGAAAUGCCUUAGGACAGACAAUGAACUUGAAUUCUGUAAUAAAGAGUUUAAAGUUUUUUUUUUAUCAAGAAUGAGGGAUUAAGAGGCAUAAGACGGUAAGGCUCACCCCUCAGCAAAAUGGCUUAGUUGAAAAGAUGAACAGAACCCUUGUUUAUAAGACAAGAUGCUUAUUGAUCAAUUAUUAAUUACCAAGGAGUUUUUGGGUUGAAGCUAUCUCAACAGCCUGUUAUCUCAUUAAUAGAAGUCCAUCAUCAGCCAUUGGGUUCAAAACUCCAUAAGAAGUCUAGUCUGGAAAACUUGCAAGCUAUAAAUAUCUCAGGGUAUUUGGGCAUCCUACGUAUGUUCAUAUUAGACAAGGGAAGCUUGAUGCACAAGCUGUCAAAUGAGCAUUUGUUCGUUAUAUAGAUGGGGUUAAAGGCUACAGAGUUUGGUGUGGAAAAGCUAAUAAGUGUUUAAUUAUUUAUUCUGUUUAAUGAAGUUGUUGUAAUCAAUAAGUCUGAUCAAGUAACUUCUGAUACUGAUAUUAAUGUAAAUAAGACACUGACUACUGGAGUCAUUAAUCAAGGUGUUAAUAUUGAGGUAGAGUUGUCUAGUGCUCAUAAAGAUGAAGUACAACCAGAAGCUGUUGAAGAUUAUUCUCAAGAUACAGUAGUAAUUGAAGAUGCAGCACCACAAGUUACUGAUCUGCAAUAAUAUCAAUUAGAUAUGGACAUAUAAAGAAGACAUAUCAUACCCCCAAAAAGGUAUGCAUAUACAGACAUAGUUGCAUAUGCAUUGACGAGUGUAGAGGAUGUUUCAAUUGAAAAGCCUAGCAGCUACGCAAAAGCACUAAGUACAACAAUAACUAGAUUAAAGCAAUAAGGGAAGAGAUGGAUUCUCUGGUAAGGAAUCAGACAUGGACAUUGGUUUCUAAUCCAAGAAAUAGGAAAAUUGUCAGCUGCAAAUGGAUAUUCAAGAAGAAUGAGGGUAUUCCAUGUGUUAAAGACUCAAGAUAUAUGGCAAGACUUGUGGCAAGGGGUUUCAAAAUGAGGGGUAUAUUUUAAUGAAAUCUUCUCACAUGCUGUAAAACACAAAUCAAUUAGAACCUUACUUGUUAUGGUGACUUUGCUUCAUGUAGAGCUUGAACAAAUGGAUAUAAAGACUGCCUUCUUACAUGAUAAUCUUGAAGAAAAGAUAUUAAUGUCACAGCCUGAAGGUUUUUAAGUAAAGGGACAUAAGGAUUAUGUAUGUCUUCUGCAUAAGUCUCUAUAUGGCUUGAAAGGGUCUCCUAGGCAAUGUAAGAGAUUUGACCAGUUUAUGAUCUCUAAUGGCUAUUACAAGAGCACAUAUGAUAAUUGUAUCUUGUUGAGUGUUAGAAAAUAUAUAUUUAUAAAGGAGAAAAUCGUCAUUUUACAUUUCAAGUCUUAUUAACACCCUUACUUUUAUGUAUUUUAAGUUUCUUGUGAUUCAAUUAUAUAUGUUUUAUUUUAAUUAAGUAUUUUAUGUAUUUUAGGGACAUCAUGGUCAUUUCACAAUGAACUAGAGAUCAGACGGCAAAACGGACAUCACUUUUGAACUCAGGACAGUCGAAAACCUUAGGAGGAGCAUAAAAGGAAAAAUAUCAUUGUUCACAUGUACGAUAUUAUUCACAUGUACGGUAUUGUUUACGUUACUGUUCACGACACUGUUCACAUAGACGGAUCAAUGACGUGGCAUUGACCGAUGAUGUGGCAUUGACUGACGAGGUGACACGAUUCCAUUGGAGAAAAUUCUUAUGCACUGUUGAUUGGUGACGCGGCAGCAUAUCAGUGGACUAAAAAUCGCGCGUACAGUACAUGCAUAUACACAGGAUUAUUUUCAACCAAACCGUGUCACUAUUCAAACCAGUUGACUGUUCAAACCGUGUGGUCAAACCGUAUCACUGUUCAAACCGCGUGGUCAAACUGCGUACUGUUGACUGAUGACGUGGCGCAAUCCUGAGCGUUCAAACUGUUUUUAAUUCGAUAGCCAUUGUUUACUCAAUGUAUCUAUAAAAAUAGGACCUCUCCCCCCUAUUUUGAUAUCUCUGAAUUCAAUUUUAAGUUCCAUUUUCUAUAAUUCCUUCUCCAUCUUGUAUUUUCUACGUAUUUUAAUAAAUUCUUAUUUUGCUCCUAGUUCAAUUAUGAGUAGUUAAUUUUCUUUCAAGCUUGGGUUGAAGGUGAAGUCUCAACAUAUGUCAUGGGCUUUAUUUGGUAAAUUUAUUUUCUCUUCACCUCUAAUUUUUGUGGAUGUUUUGACUUUUCGUCGACAAAUAAUAAUAAUCUUGUCUAGAUACCGCACUGAUUUUACCGGCUCCCUAGUACAAAGUUAUUAUUAUUUGGUACGAUAAGCUCUUAGCACCAUAUUGAUUAGAGUGUGGUUCAUGAGGUGUGGAUUCCCCCCUCAUGAUUUAAUUGGCAUUAAUAAGAAAUAUUUAGCCCAUGGUGCAUGUUGAUGCGGAUCUAGAUACCCAAGCGCUUCAAUUAUUAUAGUUUCCAUUUUAAUUUAAUUCUGCCAUUUCAAUUUAAAUUUUAAGAUAUUCCAAAUCAUCUUUACCAUAAUUCCAACCACCCAUUUAGAAAAAUUAAUUCUACACACAAUUAAAAUCCACCUCCUCGUGGGAUCGACACUUGUCACCAUUGAUCUAUUCUAAAAUAGAUUCGUGCACUUGCGAGUUCAAUAAAAUUUGUACAACAUGUCUAUCAUAGGAACAUAAGCUCAGGUGGAGCUAUGUAUCUUUUGUUGUAUGUUGAUGAUAUACUCAUUGUUGGUAAAAAUUCUAGUGAUAUUGAGAAACUUAAGAAUUUAUUAAAGGGGGAAUUUGAAAUGAAAGAUCUUGGCAGUGCUAAGAUGAUCCUUGUUAUGGAUAUUCUUAGAGAUAGAGUUGUUGGUACUUUGUUUCUAAGCCAAUCAAGAUAUGUCAGUAAGGAGUUAGAAAAGUAUAUUAUGAUGGAUUCAAAACCUGUAAUGACACUUUUGGGAGCUCAAUUUAAACUCUCUAAUGAUAUGUCUCCAAUAUCAUAUGCUAAGAAAUUCUAUAUUUACUGGCUGUAGGAAGCUUAAUGUAUGCAAUGGCUUGCACCAGAGCAGACAUAGCUUAUGCAGUAAGUGUAGUAAGCAGGUUUAUGAGUAAUCCUGAUAAGCUUUAUUAGGAUGCUAUGAAAUGGGUUAUGAGGUACUUGAAACGUACUUUAGAUCAUGGUCUGGUGUAUGGCAAAUCCAAGCAAGAAGUCUAUGAAGUUAGAGGCUAUGUGGACUCUAAUUUUGCAGGUGACUUAGAUAGGAGAAAUUCUAUCUCUGGAUACCUGUUCAUGCUAGAAAAUUGUCUCAUAAGUUGGAAACUUACUUUACAACACAUAGUAGCUUUGUUAUCUACUGAGGCUGAAUUUUUGCUGCAAUAGAGGCAGUAAAAGAAUCAUUGUGGCCGAGAAGGCUACUGAAUGAAUUUUGGUUGAAACAAAAGACAAUUUAGAUCUUUUGUGAUAAUUAGAGUGCGAUUCAGCUUAUAAAAAAUGAAAUUUAUCGUGGGAGAACCAAACACAUUGAUAUGAAGUUGCACUUUAUCAGAGAUGAGGUCGCAAAAGGGUUUGUUGUAGUAACAAAAAUAUAUACAGAUAUCAACCCUACUGAUAUGUUAACAGAAGUAAUUCCAACAGCCAAAUUUAAGAUUUGUGUAGACUUGAUUGGUAUUGGAAAUGGUUCUAGUUGUUAAGUUGCGUGGUUGAAGGUUUUUUUUUUAAAGCACUUAUGGUCAAGAGUAAUGCUGAAUCAGAUCUGCAAGGUGGAGAGUGUGAGGACAUGAGUUAUGUUUUUGGACUAAAAUGUAAUCGAAUGAAAGUUGUUGGGUAAUGUGCAAAUCGACUUCAAAUGAGGAGUCAAUUUGUAAAUUCUGCGCUAAUGUGGCAAAAAGGUUAAAGGUUGUUAAGGUGUUUCUAGAAAAUUUCCAAAAUAUGAAAGGGCCUGCUGUGCAUUGCUUUGUGUGUGAUUUCUCUUUUGUUUCUUAGCUAAAAAAGGUGAUUCUAGAUUCUUUGGAAUCCUUGAAGUGUCCUCAAAACAAUUGAUCUGAUUGUAAAGCAUUUGAGUAAUGAGAUCUUGUUCAUUUUUCCUUUGAAACUUGGAAGCUUGUUCACUGUGAAUAGUUUUCUAGGUUCUUGUUUGACUGAAUCAUUUUCUGUUCUUGAUUCCAUUCUGUCUUUAAUUGAUCAAAGUUGUGUGAGUUGAUUAAUUUCUUGUUAAUAGCCAUUAAAAUACAACAGGAAAACUACCAAAACCUAACCCGAAAUUCGAAUGUUGCCAAAUCCUGAAUCUAAAUCCAAAUUUCUAAAUGUUGACAAAUCCUAAUCCUAACCCUAAAUCUGAUACUUGUUCAGCUUUGGUGGGAAAAUCUUUUAUAGAAGAUAGUUUUCUUCAUGGUUACGUUGGUGGUCUAUAUGAGGUUCAAACUAUGUGCGUACAAUGAAUUCAAGACCUUUAAUAAGGUUUAAUUUAAAUUUAUAGUGAAAGAUUAUCGUGUCUAUCUAAGGAAGUGAAAUCUUAUACUUCCAUUUGGGAACUAGCUAGCUUAUCGAAACAAGUUUUGAACAAUUUAAUUAUUAAUGUUCAAUUUUGAUGUACUGAUCUCGGAAGUUGGAAUAAUGGAGCACAAUUAAUUAAUUUCCUUGAUAUUUAAUUAGAAUGUGAAAUCUUUAUUUCUCUUUUGGGGAAGCUAAUUUAUUGCUGCAAGUUUUGCAACCUAAAAAUAGGUUCCCUUACUGUUAAAGUAGAUUGUCAAUGAACCGCUGUUAUUAAGUCCAAAAAUCAUAAACAUAAAUUGUAAAAUAAUUUAUUGUAGAUGACAAAAGAUGUAUUGGGCCGGACUCAACAAAGGGUGCGUUUUUUAUUUGGAAUCAGUGGAUGUCCUAUGGAACGCCUCAAGGUCCACUAAACAGCCACACAACUGUUAUGGUAAAAAAUGUUUUCAGGUCAGCGGAAGUUUUUUUGAAUAAUCAAUGGAGGAAAGUAAAAAAUACCCUUAGUUUGUAAGUGAAAUUACUACAUAUUUAUUUUGUUAUAUCAUUUAAGAUCAUGUCUUUUUCUGGUUGACGUGCAAUCUUGGCCAUGAAAUGGGACUCUUUAUUGCUUGAACAAUAGUUGAAAGAACUAAUUACUAAUCACAUGAUUUGUGGUUUAUACCUCCAUCAGCCAGAAUCAUACAAUUGUAAACAACUAUUGUCGUGUAGAAAAAAAUCAAGAAUAAAGUUAAUUUGUAUGUUUUUUUUUUGCCAUAAGAUAUAUAUAUAUAUAUAUAUAACUGAUUUGUUCCUAUAGAUUAUGAUAUGUUUGUAAACAACUUUCAGGUUGAUUUGCAAUUGAAAUAUUGUUCUCGUCUGCCAUAAAUUAAUGGAUUAUUUUUGUUGUUAAUUGACUCGUCUAUGAAAUUAAAGAAAACUGGAAAUACUUUAGAGCCAUAAUUUCUUUAAAAACUAGUUAUUAAUUUGAUAAAUGAUGAACAUUCAAUUCUUUAAUUGGAUAAAACUUAAAGCCUGCAGAUAAUCAUACAUAUUUUAGGCAAUUUUCUUUUGCUCAAAUAUUAUAAUGUGAAUGUGAAUGAUGUGGUGCUCCUAAAACACCCAACGCCCAAGACUUUUUUAUAAUAGAGUAAAUUUAACUUAGACAUGUUUGGCAACGGAGUAAAGUUUGGGGAUUUUGUUAUGUAUGCUCAACUACUUUGUGCACUGAGUUCUAUCAAGGUAAGCACUGUACAGUCCAUUAUCAGACUCAGACAACUAUUAUAGUGUACUCCUCUUUCUUGUCAUAUUUUUCCUUUUCAAACGUAAUUAAAGAAAUUACAUAUUCAAAUGAAAUGACAUACCAAAAGGAGCCUAGUCAUAAGUCCAGCAAGCUUUAUCAUUCAAAGUAGCCCCAAUUGUGAUUUGUCAGAAGGCUUAGAAUGAAGGACAAAAAUCCCAAGAGAAGAGCCUAAUAAAAAAUUAGAGCAAAACAAUAAUUCCAUUGACCGAUAUCAUUUAUAAAAGAACCUUUGAAAAAAAGAAAAUUAUGCACUUUUUAUUUUGGGCGAUACGAGAUGCUUUCCAAACAGCAUGUGUUAAGAAAUCCCAAAAAUUGUACACGUGUAAAAAAUUACUGGCUGAUUCGACGGAUGAGGUUGGCUUUUUGCCCCUUUUUUUUUUUUUUGUCAGGAGGAUGUGGUUGGCUUUUCAUACAAAUAAGGGCAAAUUACCCUAUUUAUAAAUUAGUAAAAGGGACACUUGGAAUCCUUCUAAGUUCAUUUUAAAAAAAAAAAAAAUUCUGAAAAGCUAAUGUUUCUUAUCCGACAAAGAGAACUUUUAUCUUCUUAUCAUGAUUUAUGAAUACUGAUUUUGAUGUUUUCAAUCCAGCUCAGAAAUUUUUUUUCCUUUGAUCAUGAUUCAUGAACAAUGUGUUUGAUGCUUUAACUGUGCAGUUUUCAUCUCCCCAGGUGGAAAGUUUUGAGUAAAAAGUCAUAGAUUUUCUUUGAAUCUUUUAUUAAACUUGUCAAAAGAACAUGCUACCGACAUUACAAAGAAAAUCUGUUUUCUUUUUUUCCCGUUUUUCGGGCAGCCGAAUGCAAUCGAAACAAGUUUCGUACCGUUGUAAACUUGUAUACUUGAUGGUCCCAAUCAGUGGCUGCCUGUUUCUAAUAUCGAAGUAAAAAAAAAAAAGUUAUUUUUCCGAUUGCAGAUAUAUUUAUUUUGAUUAAAAUUGGCUAUCACAAAUAGAUUAAUGCAAAAUUGGUCAUCAUGUGUUUGAUUAAUUUAUCCUAUUUUUCGUUAUUAGUUUUAAGCUUUUCUUUCAAGUUUUUUUUUGGGACAAAAUUUUCAAAUUUUCUAUGGCCAUAAUCAUAUGUUGGGGUUUGUAUCAGAAAAAAGUUUUUAAGUAUUUGUAUGGAAAAAGACAACUUAUCCUACGUGAAAGUUUUAGAAGCUCCUUUGAUCGGUUAGAUUUUUAAUAAGGAUAUUUUCUAAUUAAUUUUAUAAGUAUAUAUAUAAACUUUUUUUUUUCAUGUGGACAGCUUAUUGUUUAUUUCAUAUGCCACGUUAUUGAGUCAUAUGAUUUAAUAAAAUUAGUACAAACAUAUUAUUAAAUUACAUGAUUUUAUAAUAUAUUAAAUAUUGAUUUUAUUAAAACAGAUGAAACCCUUGUACUUGAGAAUGAAAGUUUGUAUACAUUAGGACGUCACCAAAAUAUUUUGAGAUAUUAAAUUGAUUAGUGACACACCAGAAUAUCAAUGCCGAGAAGAGAACGAGAAGAACUAGUGUGGAGAAAAGGGUACAAGAAGAAUUGCUUUCAUUUCAUGGACCCAAAUUUACGCCGCUAAUUGAGAACGGGAGUUAGUGGAAGGCUUGACUUUUCAGUUUCGAAGAUAUACAUAAAUAUUUCAGUAUUUAUAAACGGAAAAUAUUAAAAAAAACUCAGAUGUUUGGACUGAUUAUUAAUUUUUACAUUGUGAUAACUGAUAUCACUAAAAAAAGGAAAAAGAAUUAAGGAAAGAAAGGAAAUUAAGUUAUAAAGAAAUUAGGGUAUAUAUCCUAUAUUUUAAUUUAAAUAUCUUUUUUGUCCACAUAUUUUAAAAAAAAAUGUAAAGACAUCCUAUUUUAAAUAUGUUACGAUCUUCCUCUUAUUUUUUUCUUACCUUUUACAACAAUACUAACAAUAAUAUUUUUGGCAUUAAUUUUUUAUCUAAAAAAAUAAAUAGCAUAUUAACCAAUAUAUUAGAAAAUUAGAAAUAAAUAUCAUUCUACAACAACUAGUAACCAUUUAUGAUAAAUUAAAACCAACUAAUUUAAAGCAAUGUUUAAGCUAAGUUAAUUUUUUGUAAAAAAAAAUUAAUUACCAAAUUAAUCCUAAAAUUAAGAUAACAAAAAAUAGAUAGAGUAAUUUUUAUCUUACUUUUAAGACUAAUUUGAUAAAUUCAUUUUUUUUUUCUUUUCAUUGAAUCUCCAACAAUAUUAUUGUAAGGGUAUUAUUCUAAAAUCAAAGAAAAGAUCAGGGUAGGAAUGUAAUAUAUUUACCAGUAAAGAUGUCUUGAAAUAUUUUCUAAAAUAAAGAGAUUAAAUGGAUACUUAACUGAAAAAUACACAGACCAAAUAAGUAUUUAGCUGAGAAAAUAUGAUACCAUGUUAUUAGUUAUUAAUUAACAAACCUAAAAAAAUUUAAAUCACUCAAAUGAGUACAAACCACAUAUUUUUUUGUUAAAAUUUGUGUAAAGUCUAGUGCAUGUGUAUAUAUAUAAACAAAGUAGGUAGAUAAUUAAAAAUAAACAUGUCUGAGUUUCAAUAUCUGAAAGCUCGAAACAAGUAUGAGUUUAAGAUUUUCCAAUCUACAAUUAAUUCAGUUACAUUAAAAAACAAAUUUCCUCAAAAUUUAUUGAAAAUUAGUUAUUUAAAAUUAUAUUUUGUACAAUUAUUAUUCAAAUUUAAUUUGAAAAAGUUUAAUAUAGAUGGCGGUCAAUCAACAACCCACUCGAAAGAUUUGAUUUAUUUUCUUUUAUUUUAUUUCUAGUUCUUUUGACAAGUCAAGCCAGCUAGAUUUCAAGCCACAACAAAUGCGAAGUCUAGAAAAACCUAACAAGAGAUAAACUCUAUGUUCAAAUUUAUCACAAUUCACCAGCACGUGGCAGACAUAACGUCCAUUUUGCACUCUAUAAAUACCGUACUCCCAUCACCAACAUUUGCAUAUCACUCACAUUUCUCUACUCCUAAACAAAAUGGCUCCACUUAACAUGAAAAAAAAUAUUGUAACCUUUGCUCUUGUGGGCAUUCUUGCCCUAGCUUUUCCCACCAAAGUAAUGUGUCAAAAUGUUGCUAGCAUUGUGACUCCCCAGUUCUUCGACGGCAUAAAGAAUCAGGCAGCCGCGAGUUGUGCCGGCAAGAGCUUCUACACGAGAGAUGCGUUUCUGAAUGCUGCCAAGGCUUAUCCUCAAUUUGGUAGCGGCUCUCCUGAAGUUUCGAAGCGUGAGAUUGCUGCAUUUUUUGCACACGUCACUCAUGAAACUGGACGUAAGUUCUCUCCAUUUUAUUUCUUUUUGCAUGCAAAGUAUUUAUGAGCAAUCCAUGCAUAGAGAAGAAAACGACUUUUCUUUGUUUUAUUAUUUUCAAAACCGUUUUUGAAAUUUUUUAAAACUAUAUCCCCCAAGGUUGGAAUGAACAUAAUCUUUUUAAUUACAUGCUUUAUAUGUAUUAAAUAAUGUUCUCAGUUUGUUGAACACAUAAAAGUUUUCAAUAAAACUAAUUGAAUACUCCAACUUUUAAUUGAUAUGAUUUGCCACUAGCCAAUUAUCUUGAUUAAGCCCGGAGAGAAUUAAUUAGAAAAAAAAAUGUCUGGCUUUUUCAGAUUUGUGCUACAUAGAAGAGAUUAACAAGUCCAACCGGUACUGUGAUGAACAAAACAAACAGUACCCAUGUGUUCCCGGAAAGUUCUACUACGGCCGUGGACCGAUCCAACUCACCGGAAAUGGAAACUACGGAGCUGCCGGAAAAGCCAUCGGGUUUGACGGAUUAAGAGCUCCGGAAACGGUGGCCAAGGACCCCGUUGUGUCAUUUAAGACUGCCUUGUGGUUUUGGAUGACCAAUGUGCACCCAGUUAUGAACCAAGGUUUUGGUGCAACAAUUCAGAGAAUCAAUGGUGCCGUUGAAUGCGGUGGCAAGCAACCUGCUCAGGUUCAAGCUCGCAUUGGAUAUUAUAAGGAUUAUUGCAACAAAUUUGGUGUUGCUCCUGGCCCAAAUCUCUCUUGUUAAAAUGUUUUCGCCGA